UCUCUUUUUUUUUCCCCAUUUUUUUUCCCAAUUUUUAGUUCUCGAAAUGUGUCUUCUUAUGAAGAAUGGAAGUCAAUGUCAGAGGAAUGGUACAAAGAACAAGAAAAAUGGAGAAACCAAACUGAAACCUCUUCUUAUGAUUGGGUUUGGAUGAUUU
rnacentral:ribozyme from 13 species